ACAUGAAUCCAUGUAAAAACCAUUGUGCAUUGUCACCCCCUCUAGAUUUGAAAUCGGAAACGAAGAAAGCGUUAUUACGGUCACUAUUGUAAUUUGAAGACCCAGCUUUUUUCCAGGAUUCGUCCGCUGAUUUCUACCUAUAUCUAGAGUGUAAUUCAAAUUUACAUAACUUAUUGAUUAACAAUUGAAACCCCUUUUAAACUUUUGAACUAAUGUUUUCAUACUCCAAUAAAACGGAGAUGAAAUUCUUACGAAACAAAGAACAACUCUUAGCAACGGAUAUCUUGGUUCU
rnacentral:misc_RNA from 1 species